rnacentral:rRNA from 1 species
CCUCAGAUCGGACGAGAUUACCCGCUGAAUUUAAGCAUAUAACUAAGCGGAGGAAAAGAAACUAACAAGGAUUUCCCCAGUAACGGCGAGUGAAGCGGAAAUAGCCCAGCACCGAAUCCCUCAGUGUCGCGCUGACGGGAACUGUGGUGUGUGGGACGCCACCAGUCGCAUCAGUGGGCACCGAAGUCCUCCUGAUCGAGGCUUCACCCAGAGCGGGUGUAAGGCCUUUGCAGGUGCCCUACUGUGCGGCCGCGAGCGUCUCAGGAGUCGGGUUGUUUGGGAAUGCAGCCCAAAGCGGGUGGUAAACUCCAUCUAA